rnacentral:rRNA from 1 species
AGUCGCAGGGUUGUACGAAACCCGAAGGCGCAACAAAAGUGAAUGAUCUUCGGAUCUAGGUGGGAUCAUGUGGUCACUCGUGGCUACGUGCGCACCACCGGCCUGUCUCAUUCGUGACGUCGAAGAGGCGGAGCAAGAGCGUACGCGUUGGGACCCGAAAGAUGGUGAACUAUGCCUGAGCAGGAUGAAGCCAGAAGAAAUUCUGGUGGAGGUCCGCAGCGAUUCUGACGUGCAAAUCGAUCGUCAAACUUGGGUAUAGGGGCGAAAGACUAAUCGAACCAUCUAGUAGCUGGUUCCUGUCGAAGUUUCCCUCAGGAUAGCUGGCGCUCAUCGAGCAGUUUUAUCCGGUAAAGCGAAUGAUUAGAGGCAUUGGGGACGUACAGUUCUCAACCUAUUCUCAAACUUUAAAUGGGUAAGACGUCCGUCUCACUUGAUUGGAGUCGGGCAAACGAAUGCGAGUGCCAAGUGGGCCAUUUUUGGUAAGCAGAACUGGCGCUGUGGGA